UCUUUAAAAAUCUCUUUAUGGUCUUAAACAAGCACCACGUGCCUGGUUCAACGCUUUUCUACUUAUGCUCAAACCAUCGGUUUUACCCCUUCCCGUUCUGACACUUCACUCUCCACCUUUCAUCACAACAACAACACUGCUUACCUUCUUUUAUAUGUUGAUGAUAUUAUCCUCACAGCUCCUCACAACAAUUUUUAGAUCAUAUUAUCUCUCUUCUUCAUCACGAAUUCUCUAUGACAGAUUUAGGUCUUCUUCACCACUUCUUAGGUAUUGCUGUUAUCCGUGACUCCUCUGGUCUUUUCUUGUCUCAACGUCAGUACACUCUGGAUCUUCUUUCUCGUGCUGGUAUGCUUGAUUGUCAAACUUCCCGUACCCCUGUUGAUAUAGGUUCCAAACUCUCUGCCGAUGGUGAUCCUUUCUCUGAUCCUUCUCUUUAUCGUAGUCUUACCGGUGUACUUCAGUAUCUUACUCUCACUCGACCUGAAAUUUCUUUUGCUGUCCAACAAGCUUGUUUAUACAUGCAUGAUCCUCGUAUUCCACACUACAAUCAUGUCAAACGUAUUCUUCGGUAUCUUAAAGGCACACUAGACUUAGGUCUUCAUAUCAACAACUCCUCUCCCACCUCCUUGACAGCUUACUCCGAUGCAGACUGGGCUGGUUGUCCAGAUACUCGUAGGUCCACAUCCGGAUUUUGUGUUUUUCUUGGUAACAAUUUGGUUUCUUGGUCUUCAAAAAGGCAAGUUACGGUCUCCCGCUCGUCUGCUAAAGCUGAGUACCGCGCUGUGGCUCAUGCGGUUGCUGAGACGGUUUGGUUGCGCCAGUUGCUGUCAGAGCUGCACCGUCCUAUUGAGCAAGCUACCAUUGUUUACUGUGAUAAUACUUCAGCUGUCUACAUGUCAGGGAAUCCGGUUCAACACCGUCGCACCAAGCAUAUUGAGAUCGACAUUCAUUUUGUUCGAGAAAAGGUGGCUCUCGGUCAAGUUCACGUUCUCCACGUGCCUACUUCUGCUCAGUUUGCUGAUAUCUUUACUAAAGGCAUGGCGACUACUCCGUUUCAAGACAUUCGUUUCAGUCUCAACGUCGUCGAGCCUACCGUUGACACUGCGGGGGAUGUUAGAAUACAUUUUGUAUUAGGAUUAAGACUCUUCGGUUUGUAAUAAGGCUAGGUCAAGUGUGGCUGGGCUCUUAUAUAUACUUCUUGUACCGGCACAAUAUUGUAUCAACAAUUAUUCAAUACAAUUCUACACCUUUCCCCUCUCUCGCAAUGCGACUAGCGAAAGCCUUCCUUCUCUCGAUCUUCACCGGCGAACCUGUGGAUUCGCCUCCCCUUCGUCUGUCGUUCUAGCGGACGGUGGCGGGGGAGGGGAUUUCUAGUGCCUCAGAUCCGGCUAGUAGAUAGGUAGGGAUUUAGUCCUCGCAGAGGCGGCGGUUGGACAAAUAGCGGUGCUUCUUCUUCGAGUCAAUCUUCCGGGCUCCGAUCCUCCUCAAGUUCGUCCGUUGGGACGGAUUAGACGGAGCUCCGGCGUAGAUUCCUGUCAGCUCCUCGGGGCGGCGAGGUUAGGGUUUCUUGUCGAGUGUACGCAACGGCGAUAUUUCAUGUCAGGUUCUUCAGAUCGAUUUAAGGAUUCAACGGCGACGACUGCAGCUCCGGGGCGCUGGUCCUUAGGGGCACGUGCACGAAGACUUUUCGACUAUCAUCGACAAGGUCAGGCCGGCUUCGAUAUGGGAGCAACGACUGCGGCACGUUCUGGUAACAACACAGGAGCAAACAUUUGAUGCCUCUGGUUAGAUGAUCGGUGCCUUGCCUACCGUCCGUGGAGACGUCGGACGUGUCGGCAGAUAUUUGGUGCCGUCAGUUUGAUGAUGAUCGGCGUUUUUCAAAUGGAUGAUGAUCGGCGUUCUUCAAAUGAUAGACAAGCCGUUGCGUAUUCGCAAAAAAAGAAGACGAUGAUCGGCGUUGGAGUUGCACUGACGCUUUAGCACCUGCAUGCUUUAUUGCUGGUCUUGUAGGACCCCCACAGCUCUCGAGAUAUGUGGCUAUUUUGGGGAUAUUUCUUUGGUCUUAGUAGCUGUUUUCCUGUUUUGUUCCAUUUGUUGCUGUGCUACUUUCCUAGUUUUCUGCUACCCUCAAAGCCACAUUUGCGAUGAGUUGAUGGCAGUGCUACGCCACUACUGCUGCUGGGUUCUUCCGUGUUUUGUUUUCAGAACAAUUGGACCCACCAAUGCUAUUGCACUAAAGAAGAAAAUAAACUAAUGAUCGCUGUUAUGGCCGGUUUAGCUAGGCCCACCGGACAAUCUUAGUCCACAAGUUAUUUUAGGUUAAUUCUUAUGCAAGUUAUCUAGGUUAUAAAUAUAGCCAGUUAAUUCUUAUCUAGGUUAUGGCGCGCCGACCCAGACGCCGCCACGGUUCGCCAAGAUUGAUUUCGCCACUUAUGACGGCACGAAGGACCCGCUUAACUGGCUCAACCAGUGUGAGCAGUUUUUCCGUGGCCAGCGCACGCUCGCGUCGGAGCGCACUUGGCUGGCAUCCUACCACCUCCGCGGUGCAGCCCAGACCUGGUACUACGCCCUCGAGCAGGACGAGGGCAGCAUGCUCUCUUGGGAGCGCUUCCGCGAGCUCUGCCUCCUUCGCUUUGGGCCUCCGGUUCGCGGGAGCCGCCUGGCGGAGCUCGGCCGCCUUCCCUUCACCUCCACGGUGCAGAACUUCGCCGACCGUUUCCAGGCCCUGGCAUGCCAUGCGUCGGGCGUGACGGCGCAGCAGCGGGCCGACCUCUUUGUCGGUGGACUUCCGGAUCACAUCCGCGUGGACGUGGAGCUUUUCCAGGCCCUGGCAUGCCAUGCGUCGGGCGUGACGGCGCAGCAGCGGGCCGACCUCUUUGUCGGUGGACUUCCGGAUCACAUCCGCGUGGACGUGGAGCUUCGGGGACCCCAGGAUCUCCAGUCGGCCAUGUACUACGCCCGUGCGUUCGAGCGCCGCGCGGUGGCCAUCCAGCAGGAAUCACCGUCCCGGACCGCUGGGUCGCUACCCGGGCCGGAUUCCGCGCAGGGUCGGCCUGCGUAGGCUUCUGCGGCACCCCUCGCCGCGACCGCGACGCGCCCGUUCCGCCGGCUCACCUCAGCCGAGCUACUCGAGCGUCGCCGUCAAGGGUUGUGCUUCAACUGCGACGAGCCCUACACGCCCGGCCAUGCCUGCCCGCGACUCUUCUACCUGGAGGUUGCAGACUACAUUCCGGAGGACGCCGUCGCCGUCGACCUGGCCGCCCCAGCUGUCGAGAAGGUGUUUGACGCUGGUUGAUCGCCUCGAGGAGUUCCGCAAGCGCUUCCCCACCUUACAGCUCGAGGACGAGCUGUUUGUGCAGGCGGGGAGAAGUGUUAUGGCCGGUUUAGCUAGGCCCACCGGGCAAUCUUAGCCCACAAGUUAUCUUAGGUUAAUUCUUAUGCAAGUUAUCUAGGUUAUAAAUAUAGGUUGUAAGACUUUUUUUGGAAUUAAGCAAUAAGAAUAUUAUUAUCCCUAUUGCCCGGCUCUCAGAGGAGCCGGAACCCUAGCCGCCUCUAACUCUAGCCGCCGCCGCCAUCCUCCUCCUACGCGACGGCGCCCAGCCGCCGGCGCGCCCUCCUCCAUCCUUCCCCUACAACCUACGGAGCAGGUCCGGUAGGAUCCCUGGUUCUACCAAUCGCCCAUACGCAUAACAACAUUCUGGUAUAAUCAUCAGUAGUCCAAUUGACAUAUUAUUAGGGAUAACACAGGGAGAGCAAGGUACGCGAGCCGAAUGACUUCAGAACAACAAGAGUGAUGAUGCCCAAACCUAACAAAGAGAAAUCCUACAAAAGAGUACCAUCAAGUGGGCCAGUUAUUGGUUGGAUGUGCAUGAGAGUUUAUCAGUUAUCAGAUAACAUUCUAACCGCGGCAUCCAAAUUACUCCAACCAAUAACUGAUAACACAACUAUUCGAUGCCCCAAGCAUGCUUCGGCCCAAUAACAGCACAUAAUUUCUCCAAGUGGACACUUUGAAAACAAAUCAACUUUACUGCACUUUCCUGGCUUCUGCCCGGGGCUUCCAAAGACCAAGGCGGUACUUGUGGGCAAAACUCAAAAUCAACUUCCUCUGCACCAUGGCAAAGAAACCGAAUUAGUAAUUUAAUUCAAGCAUAAUUUAAUCAUAAAUUAACCGCCUGGGAUAGAAAGGAAAUUAAACAGAAGAAACAUAUCACAGUAAAUGUUGAUGAUGGCAAAUAGCGGCUAGCGAGCUGUGAGCUAUCUUUAGAAUUUGUGUGGAUUGGCAACCUGGAUAUGUCGAAUAUCUGAAAUGCUUCUCAUGCACUCGUUUGGCUGCUGUUAUUUAGAACACCGAUCACUGUAUUUUACAAGCAAUUGGAACAUCUACCAAAUGUUACGCACACAUUUACAAGCUACCUACUUCCUAAGAAAUCCAGUGACGUCCAAGCUUUGUCCGUUGGUGCUGCUAUUUCAUGUUGACUAUAGUAACUAGAGGAAACAAACAAGUACAAAGUUGCUACCUGAAUGUUAGUGCACUGGAAUCUCCUUUCCUGGCUACCGUUUUUAUAUCUACAAAUUCCAUUCUAAAUCGGGGACUCAUGGAGCAUGUUUGAUAAAUCUGUUCGAACUUGGUAAUAUGUUAAAACAGUGCCAGUUGUACUCCUGGUCCAGCAACAGCUCUGGUUGUAUGCUUGGAUAGAAAAUGUUGUNNNNNNNNNNNNNNNNNNNNNNNNNNNNNNNNNNNNNNNNNNNNNNNNNNNNNNNNNNNNNNNNNNNNNNNNNNNNNNNNNNNNNNNNNNNNNNNNNNNNNNNNNNNNNNNNNNNNNNNNNNNNNNNNNNNNNNNNNNNNNNNNNNNNNNNNNNNNNNNNNNNNNNNNNNNNNNNNNNNNNNNNNNNNNNNNNNNNNNNNNNNNNNNNNNNNNNNNNNNNNNNNNNNNNNNNNNNNNNNNNNNNNNNNNNNNNNNNNNNNNNNNNNNNNNNNNNNNNNNNNNNNNNNNNNNNNNNNNNNNNNNNNNNNNNNNNNUAGAUAACAUGUACAUUGUCUAAGGGUUUAUUUGUACAGAUUCAGGGAGUUUCCACAGUUCUUGCUAUGUGCAGCCCGCAAUUUUUAUUUAAUUCUAACGUGAUUAUUAAUUAAGUUCUUGAUCAGAACCAUUCAAUUCAUUUAUACUGACAGAUGUAGUAGUAUGAACAUUUUUUUAGAUAUGAUACUUAUUUUCUUAACAUAUUAGACUCAUUGAGCCAUUCUGCAGCUUAAGAAUAAUAAUACACAAAGAAACUAGUUUGGUUUCCUCAUCUCAGCCUAUCAGGUUUCUGCUCCUAAAGAUGUUCUCAGAAUUUCUUUAUAUACUUGUUUCAUGUUAUGGGACAAUGCGCUAAGCUUAGAUACUCAGCUAGAUCGGUAACAUUUUUGUUUCCAUUCACACUUUUGCAUACGGUUGAUUUAACAUUCUAUACAUGGCAAAUCUUUAUGCUUACAUAUUUAUUGUUGUAAUCAGCGUGUGGACGAACAUAACUAGGAGGCCUACCAUUUCUCAUAGCUUUGGAAGCAAACUGGACCUCACUAAAUAGAGCUGGGAUGUUUCUAUUAGACGUCUGGUUUAGUAAAAUGCUAUCUAAAGCCUGAAUACGACAUUCAGAUUAAUUUGGUUCAGUUUACUUGUGCAUUUCCUACAAUUAUAACAUUUAUGCAGGGUCGUCUUUUAAUCACCUUUUUAUCAGUCUCAAGUUAACUAAGAGUUUUGACAUUGCAGUCCCAAUUUUUUUUCCUAAUUUUGUGGCAAUUGUUCAUAAAUGCUGGUUAUUAGGACAUCACUAUAGGAUAUGUCAGGGACUUCUUUUAUGAUAACUUUGAUUUUAAACCCUGGAGAGGUCUUACCUGGUGGAAACGCCGUCCAAGGACCCAUCACAUGCUAAUGAGUUCCACACAGGUAUGACACUGAGUCAACAAUGUGAUGUCCGAACCCCGGUUUACAAUGGCGGAGACAGGGGGGACCAGCAGGGGCCCUGGCCCCCCCCNNNNNNNNNNCCCCCCCCUAACAUCCAAUAUUUGCUGCUAAUUAGCUAAUGAACAGUGGGUAAUUAGUGAGUAUUUGCUGCUAAAAACCUACUUUCCAAUGAUUUGGCCCUCUCCAACCAGUUCUAACAGCCCUCGGCCCCCCUGAUAAUAUUUUCCUGGCUCCGCCACUGCCGGUUUACUCUGGCAUUUGCAUGCUAUCCUAAAUCAUGCUAUUGAACAUCUUAAUUGGUUCUUUCUGGAUAUGUGUGUGCCAACUUAUAUGCAAUCCUAUGCCUAGAACAUUAGACGGAUCAAGAUAUUUUGAACAAAAUUGCCAGACUUCCUCAAAUUACUUCAUCAAGAAGGGUGGGGCCUUUGUGUUCGUGCACAUGAACCAUCUAAUACCAAACUAAGCCGAUGGCUCUUAUCCAAGCAUCACAACAUUGGAGAACAAAACCUAACCAAACUAUACAUUUACACAACGAAAUGCCCCAAGAAGCAGGGUGUAGCCAGCAAAACCACAUCAAGCCUUCUCUGAAACUACAAAGGACACACCAAUUAAAUCAAAGGAAUAUCUUGAGCAGGGAGGAGACUAACAUGCUUGCAGGGGACGCCGAGUUUCUUGAGCCGUAGCGUGCGGGUCUCGAGCAGCCUCUNNNN
rnacentral:lncRNA from 1 species